AGCAAGAAAUAUUAGCCAUUACAAUACAUAACACUUUCCCAGGUUCCCACAUCAAAAUGGAUCUAUAACUUAAGUUUCUUUGAACGCUGUACUGUGAUUUAUUACAUGUGAUUGCCUUCUUUAGACUGAGAGUCAGUGAAAGAAACUUAAGAUUAUCUUGACAACCUCCUUAAUUACUUGCAUGUAUGCACUUGUUCAGUAUAGAUUGGUUAAGAAACUUGAUACUUGUGAGAACUUAAAAUGAGGAUUGUAUUGAUGGUAUUGGGCAGCUUGUUUAGAUAGGCAAGGAUGAGAUUAUUCUUGGGUGUGUUACUGGACAAAGCAUGCCAGUA